ACAAAGGCUCUUUUAAGAGCCAACCAUAUUUUCAAAGUAAGAGUUG
rfam:Chelonia mydas contig55547, whole genome shotgun sequence.